rnacentral:rRNA from 1 species
GCAUAUCAAUAAGCGGAGGAAAAGAAACCAACAGGGAUUGCCCCAGUAACGGCGAGUGAAGCGGCAAAAGCUCAAAUUUGAAAUCCUGCGGGAAUUGUAAUUUGAAGGUUUCGUGGUCUGAGUCGGCCGCGCCCAAGUCCAUUGGAACAUGGCGCCUGGGAGGGUGAGAGCCCCGUAUGGCGCACGCCGACUCUUUGCACCGCGGCUCCGACGAGUCGAGUUGUUUGGGAAUGCAGCUCUAAGUGGGUGGUAAAUUCCAUCUAAAGCUAAAUAUUGGCGAGAGACCGAUAGCGAACAAGUACAGUGAUGGAAAGAUGAAAAGCACUUUGAAAAGAGAGUGAAACAGCACGUGAAAUUGUUGAAAGGGAAGGGCUUGCAAGCAGACACGGUUUUACCGGGCCAGCGUCGAAAAGGGGGGAGGAACAAGAACUCGAGAAUGUGGCGCGCACCUUCGGGCGCGCGUGUUAUAGCUCGUGUUGACGCCUCCAUCCCUUUUCGAGGCCUGCGAUUCUAGGACGCUGGCGUAAUGGUUGCAAGCCGCCCGUCUUGAAACACGGACC